rnacentral:rRNA from 1 species
GAUGAACGCUGGCGGCGUGCCUAAUACAUGCAAGUCGAGCGAACAGAUGAGGAGCUUGCUCCUCUGACGUUAGCGGCGGACGGGUGAGUAACACGUGGAUAACCUACCUAUAAGACUGGGAUAACUUCGGGAAACCGGAGCUAAUACCGGAUAAUAUAUUGAACCGCAUGGUUCAAUAGUGAAAGACGGUUUUGCUGUCACUUAUAGAUGGAUCCGCGCCGCAUUAGCUAGUUGGUAAGGUAACGGCUUACCAAGGCAACGAUGCGUAGCCGACCUGAGAGGGUGAUCGGCCACACUGGAACUGAGACACGGUCCAGACUCCUACGGGAGGCAGCAGUAGGGAAUCUUCCGCAAUGGGCGAAAGCCUGACGGAGCAACGCCGCGUGAGUGAUGAAGGUCUUCGGAUCGUAGAACUCUGUUAUUAGGGAAGAACAAAUGUGUAAGUAACUAUGCACGUCUUGACGGUACCUAAUCAGAAAGCCACGGCUAACUACGUG